CCCCUCUCAGGAUGGCACCUGGAGAGUACCCAGUGCUCUACCACUCUCGACUACAGGAGGGAGAGUCGAGCAGAGGCCUACCCAUUCCGUUCCGAGCUUGGGCAGUGGCUAGUGAGUGGAAGGCAAUCUGCUAUAAGU